AACGCUAGCUACAGGCUUAACACAUGCAAGUCGAGGGGAAACGACAUCGAAAGCUUGCUUUUGAUGGGCGUCGACCGGCGCACGGGUGAGUAACGCGUAUCCAACCUGCCCACCACUUGGGGAUAACCUUGCGAAAGUAAGACUAAUACCCAAUGAUAUCUCUAGAAGACAUCUGAAAGAGAUUAAAGAUUUAUCGGUGAUGGAUGGGGAUGCGUCUGAUUAGCUUGUAGGCGGGGUAACGGCCCACCUAGUCUACGAUGUCUAGGGGUUCUGAGAGGAAGGUCCCCCACACUGGAACUGAGACACGGUCCAGACUCCUACGGGAGGCAGCAGUGAGGAAUAUUGGUCAAUGGUCGGAAGACUGAACCAGCCAAGUAGCGUGAAGGAUGAAGGUUCUAUGGAUUGUAAACUUCUUUUAUACGGGAAUAAAACCUCCCACGUGUGGGAGCUUGUAUGUACCGUAUGAAUAAGCAUCGGCUAACUCCGUGCCAGCAGCCGCGGUAAUACGGAGGAUGCGAGCGUUAUCCGGAUUUAUUGGGUUUAAAGGGAGCGUAGGCUGGAGAUUAAGCGUGUUGUGAAAUGUAGAUGCUCAACAUCUGCACUGCAGCGCGAACUGGUUUCCUUGAGUACGCAUAAAGUGGGCGGAAUUCGUGGUGUAGCGGUGAAAUGCUUAGAUAUCACGAAGAACUCCGAUUG
rnacentral:rRNA from 1 species